AUGGAGGAGGCGGCAACAACGGGCUACUGAUGUUGGUGUUAUUCGUCGGUCGUCCGGUGACAAAAUCCGAUGGCAACGGGAAAAGAAAAAUGGGCAGCCGGUUGCUGGUGUUGCAAAGCUUGCCUGAGUGGUCAGCGGCGGAUUUCGUUAGCGGUUUGGGUUGGGUCUUGCUGGUGGAGGCGUCAGAUCUAGUUUGACAGUGGAGUUUUAGCGAUGGAGAAAAGAGUGAGAGGUGAGAGAGAGGAGAUAAAGAGAAAGGCAUGAGUUGUGUGUGUAUAGUGUGUGUUGUGUGUUUUUAGUGCAUUGUGUGGUGUUUGUGUGUGUAUUUAAAGAAAAAAGUAUCAAUAUAUUUUGUGGUUGCCCUUAUUUUGUGUUGUUUGUCUCCCUUUUUUUCUAUUUUGUAUUAUAUUAUCUAAAAUAAUUAAUCUGAUUCACUGUUUAUGAAUCGUGAAAAUACAAAAAAAAAUUAAUUUGUAAUUAUGAAAAAAAAUAUAAAGAAUGAUGAAAAUAUUGAAAAAAUAUAAUUAAUUAAAAACCUUAUAAAAAUAUAAUGUCAUGCCGCGUACAUGUGUAUAUUAUGUAUUUAUUAUGUGUAUGUGUAUUGGGUAUUUAAAAAGAAAAAAAUAAUAAUAAAAUAGAAUGUCAAAUCUAACUUUUCCAAACACAUUCCUUAAAAUUAGGGAUAGUAGAUAAAAGAAAAGUCAAAUGUCAUAAAUAUGAUGAGACUUGACUGAUUUGUUGUUCUGUGUAUUAAAAUAAUUAAAUCGACUUACUUUUGCAUGUCGUAUUAAAUUAUGUACAAAAUAAUGAAUGCCGAUAUAUAAUUACAGAAAAAUAUAAAUAACAAAUAAAAAAUAUAAUUAUCUUUAAAAAGGAUACGUUAUGCUAUAAAUAAUUAAAAUUAUACUGUGCAGUAAAAAAUUACAGUGUUGUGUUGUGUACGUAUGUAAAUGACUGUGUAAAAAAUAUUAAAAUAAUAAUAAAUUGAUAAAAAUCUUAAAAUUUAUGAAAUUAAAGAUAAUUAUCAAUAAAUCCUGUAAAAUUAAAAUAUGACAAUAAAUGAGUGAAAAUUAUAAAAUAAUAAUAAUUAUCAAUAAUUUAUUAACAAUUGCAAAUGAUAUGUGAAAAUUAUAUUUUGUGCCCUUUAACGGCCAGAAAGCCUGAAGAUGUUAAUUUUACGCACGAAGAGCAAAAAUUAGAUGUCAACAGUUACUCAUUUUCGUUUGAAGGCGAUGUAGAUGUCUUCAAACAAAAACGUUGACGUCUAACCAAUUUUACUCGACAAAAAAUAAUUUUGAUGAAAAUUCGACCGAAAUCCAAUUUAGAGAUGCCUACAUACCUCAAGUUGUAUAAGGAUCAGGUCGGGUGUAGUUCAAAAGAAUAGGCAAUUGCCUUUUGCCUUGUUAUCAGGGGCGAAUGAUCAUGUGGAAUGAUUAUUGAGGGGAGGACUGUUUGGGGAUGCGAGAUUGUGUACUUCCUGGGGAGAAAGAAUGAUUAUGUGGUUGCGAUGACCAAACUCUGCAUAGAGCUUUCUACAUAUCUUGAGUGUCACGAGAAUCAGGUCGAUGUAGUUCGGAAGAAAAAAUGGACUUAACUUUAAGGCAAUUCUCAAAAUUUGCCCAGUGUAUGAUUCAUGGCUAAUAUCAUUUUCUGAAGAAAAAAAUGCCUUGUUAUUGUGAAUUGUAUUUUGAUUGAAAAGAUGUAUGACAUUUUCGAUUAUCUAUGGGGACUUGAAGAUGAAUAACAUCUCUGAUUAUUUACGGGGACUUAAGAAUAAAAGAUGUCUCCGAUUGUCUACAGACAUGUGAUGAAUGAAAGAUUUCUUCGAUAGUCUACGAAGAGAUAUCUCCGAUUAUCUACGGAGACUUGAUGACAUCUCCAAUUGCCUAUGAAGACGGAUAUUGAUUGUCGUCUCCGAUUGUCUAUGGAAACUGAUAUUGAAUGAUAACGUAUUUGAUUGUAUACGGAGACUUGAUAAUAUCUCUAAUUAUCUAUGGAGAUGGAUGUUGAUUGUCAUCUCUGAUUGUCUACAAAGACUGAUGUUGAAUGAUGAUGUUUUUGAUUGUAUAUGAAGACUUGAUGAUAUCUUCAAUUGUCUAUGGAGAAGGAUGUUGAAUGAUGAUAUCUUCGAUUGUAUACGAAGACUUGAUGAUAUCUUCGAUUGUAUACGAAGACUUGAUGACAUCUCCAAUUGUCUAUAGAGACUGAUGUUGAUUGUUGUCUCUAAUUAUCUAUGGAGACUGAUAUUGAAUGAUGAUGUCUUCGACUGUAUAUGAAUACUUGAUUACAUCUCCAAUUGUCUAUGGAGAUAGAUGUAUGAUAUCUCCAAUUAUCUAUAGAAACUGAUAUUGUUUGUCAUCUUCAAUUAUUUAUAAAGACUGACGGAUGAUUGUCGCUUUCGAUUAUCUAUGAAAACUAUGUAUGAUACCUCCGAUUGUCUAUGAAGACGUGAUGAUAAAUGAUGCCUCCGAUUGUCUACAGAGACUGUGUCAUGAAUAAUGUCUUUGAUUGUCUACGAAGACAAUGUCAUGAAUGUUCUCUUCGAUUGUAUACGAAGACUAUGUAUGAUAUCUCCGAUUGUCUACGGAGACUUGAUGAUAAAAUGACGUCUUUGAUUAUCUAUAGAGACUAUGUAAUGAAUGUUGUAUUCGAUUGUCUACGAAGACUAUGUUGAUAUCUCUAAUUUUCUAUGGAGAGUGAUAAUAAAAUAAUGUCUCUGAUUGUCUACAGAGACUAUGUAAUAAAUAAUAUCUUUGAUUGUCUACGAAGACUAUGUCAUAAAUGUUUUCUUUGAUUGUAUACGAAGACUAUGUAUGAUAUCUCCGAUUAUCUACGGAGAUUUGAUGAUAAAAUGACGUCUCUGAUUGCCUACAGAGACUAUGUAAUGGAUGUUGUCUUUGAUUGUCUACGAAGACUAUGUUGAUAUCUCCAAUUGUCUAUGGAGACUGAUGUUAAUAAAAUGGCGUCUCUGAUUAUCUACAGAGACUAUGUAAUGAAUGAUGUCCUCGAUUAUCUACGAAGACUAUGUCAUGAAUGUUGUCUUCGAUUGUAUACGAAGACUAUAUAUGGUAUCUCUGAUUGUCUAUGGAGACUUGAUGAUAACAUGACAUCUCUGAUUGUCUACAGAGACUAUGUUAUGAGUGUUGUCUUAGAUUAUCUACGAAGACAAUAUUGAUUGUCGUCUCCUAUAGUUUACGAAGACUGACGCCAUCAACUAGUGAGGUGACUGAAAUCUAAUAGCCCUCUCAACUUGUGAGUCUAUUGAUGUGUAAAAAAAAUCUCAACUUGGGAGAAAAAUAUAAUAGCCUCUCAACUGCUGGUGCUAUAAAAAAAGGUAAAAUAUAGCUAUUUGAAGGUAUAUGCCUAGAAGGAAAAGUCAGAAUGCCCGUAUUAAAAAAAAAUGAGCAUCUUAAAUGAAAGUAAAAAUGCAUGUAUAUGAAAGUGGAUGUCUUGGAAAAGAAAAAAAAGUUUUGUAUUUACUAUAUAAAAAGUGUUGAAAAUGAAGAAGAUACUGUCGUGUAUUGACUUCAGUUGGUACCAAUAAUUAGUAGUAUGUAUAAGAAUUUUCCAUUUCAUUUUCAACUAACCGAGAUCGACUUUAGGGUAACUUCUAUAGUUUCAAGUGGUACCUCAGACAUACCUAAGUGUCGAUAAGAUUUGUUCAUCUUCCUCAAAUAAAGAUUUUGAGCUAUGCUUAUUCUUAUAUUUCAAGUGCCCUCUCCAGUAAGAAAGUCUCAUUUCACACAUAUUUGAGUAAUUUUUUUUUUGAAUUUGGGGACGUAUAGAGACAUACACUCACACUCAGAAAGAAAUUCAACGCAUGCAAUUGUGAUACCAUAGGCUUGACCUUUAUGUAAGUAUCCACUAAUGUGAGAACACUUGGAAUAGGAUCAUGUAGGACUUGUCAUUGGCUUGUAAUGUAGGCUUGGGGAAUGGGUAAGAUGAUAUUUGGGAUAAAAGUGACUAAUUUCUCAAUGGCCACUGCAUUUGUGCAUUAGGCAUUUGUUGCGCUUUGACGCGUGAUCUUCUUAGUUAUGCUGCGUUGUCCCUUGUUUUGUACUUACUUUGACUUCUUUUGAAUCUUGUGUUGAAGUUUUCCCUUUUUUUUUCAAGAAACUAUAUAUUUUUUGUUUUUCUUUCUAUUUUCUUUUUUUGUUGGAGUUUUGCUCCUUUUGAAGUCUUUUUUCAUUUUUGUCUAUCUAGGAUAAUAUAUCCUUUGAAUUUUACGUCUUUGAUCUUGAUUCUCUGUCCACAAUUUGUACGUAUUUAGUGCGCUAAAAAAGAUAGGGCCAAGAGAGGGAUAGUUCAUGUAAGCACUAAAAAAGGUAUAGGUUUAGAUGCGGCUGUCCAAAGAAAGGUUUUAGGCUCAAACGAGGAAAUACUAAGGAUUAAUGUCAUUUGGUUGGCUGUGAAAGGCACAGUCGGGUCAAAGAAGGCCUACGAUCCUUUCCUAAACCAAGUGUAACUCAGAAUUUUGCCUCAACAAACAUUUAGGCCAAGUUCUAAAUCAACAAUACAAUGCAAUAAAUUAAACUAAAACUCACUACACAAUGCAUAUGAAACGAUGAGGUUGGCUUCAAUCUAGUCUUAGAUAUGUGAAAGAGAAUUUUUCAAGCGUUACUCGGGUGUGAUAAAGGGUACCAAAAGAAUCUAUGGUUUACCAUGAAUUCAGUUCUUUUCAUCAUAUCAAUUUGUUCUUUCUUAUGCGCACCCCUAACUGUAUUGGUACCAACCAAGUCAAUUUUAUUUUUUAUUUGAAAAGAAUGGGACCGAACCCGAAUAAGGGUUGCCUACGUAUAUUGUGAAAACAAGAAUCAGGUCUGCAUAGUUUAGAAAAAUUUGCAUAUUUGUAUGUAGCAUGUAUGAAUAUACAAGAGUGAUAGACAUCUUUGAAAACAAUGUGAAAGACGGUCAGGGAGGAAUUACUUGUAUCAGCAAAAUUGGUUCGAUCAGACGAUCGAGAGGAUAGAUGUCGAGUAUGAGGAGAGUUUUGAAAUUACUUCAAUAUGUCGACGAGAUUGAGAAGGUCAGACAUUGAAGAAGUCAUGGCAUUAUCUUGCCGUAGUUAGCAGGAUUUUGUGAAUGAAAGAAUAUUGAACUCUUGCUUUCACAGUGGGGAUCGAUACGCCGUAAAUUUAAUGGUUUAUGACACCCGAAAGAAGAAGCUAGGUGUUAUCAAACCAAAAUCGGGUGAGGAUUUGGUAGUAGGCCGAGUAGGCACUAGUGUUAUUGAGAUUUGGAUUUGAGGAGCUAUUAAAUUGCGCUCUUGAAGGCUUUUGGAGAGCGUCUUUGAAUUGUUCCAAAAAAUUGCCCCAGUUUUAAUAUCGGAGAAAUUAUUCUAAAAUAGUGAAGAGACCAAACCCUAAUGCAGCGUUGCCUACGUAUCUUGUCAGGGCAAGAAUCAGGUCAAAACGUAGUUCAAACUUUUAUGGGUUUGUAUAGAGCAUGAUUUAUUUCUAGAAUAGAAGUUUUCCUAAAUGAUUUGGAAUAGGACUGAAUAAUUGUGAAAAUGCACACUAACCUAAAUGCACUAAUACUAAAACUAUGGAAUUCGAAGAAUGUUUGGGAGAGUGUAAUACACCUCCCGCGUGAACCACAGUGUGGGAAGUGUACGGCCAAAGACUCGAUGAAAUUGUGAUUUAUGAUCAAAUGAAGAAUAAUGUGUAACAGUUUUACAAUAUACAGAUACAAUGUUUUUAAACAAAUAAUAAAUAAAAAAAAUGAUAAGACAACAAAUUUAAUUUGCGCAAAUAAUGUAAAGAAUUUAUGAAAAAGUCUACACAAUUUGCAAAGUUAAACAAAUAAAGAAUCAAAGAAUUAAUAUAUACAAAAAUGUAAAAAUAUCUCCCUCAAUUAAAAAAUGGAGUCAAUCAUGAUUAGAACCUGCUGUUAAUCCCCAGCAGAGUCGUCAUUCUGUCAUGCCUGAUUUUUACCUAAGGUCGAAUCGAGCACGACAUUAUAGACUUGAAAAAGAAUUGAUUUUAUACAGAGUCGACACCUAAUUUUUAAAGAAAAAAGGAAACCUUUUGAAUUAGUAACACGUGUGAUUUAUGUUUUAGUCUGGGAAAACCAGUUGAGAUUCUAGGUAAGGGUUUAAAUUAUCCCAAAGGAAAGGGAUUAGGCACUCUUCGGGAUCCACAACUGUGGUACCCACCUAGACUAAAUUUAUCAAAGAGGAGGAGGUAUAUUUAAAAUAAUGUAAAAAGUGUGUGUAUUAAGUAUAAAAUAUUAAAAAAAAAUAUAAAUGUGUAAAACUCUGUAAAGGUAUAUGUAUAUUAAAUAUAUAAAUAAAACAUAUUAUUAUAAAAACAUGUAAAAGAUAUGUAUUUUAUGAUGUGUGAAAAAGAAAUGUAUUUUUAUGUGCAAUGAAAAGACAAAGUAUUUACCAGUAAUAUUUUUUAUUUGAUUAAAACUAUAAAGAAAAGUAAAAUUUAUUUGAGAAGAAAAGACUACAUAAUAUAUGAAUUACUUUAUUGACUUGAUUCUUUUAUGUAAGUGUAAUAAAAUAAUAUAUAUGUUUUUUCAUAAAAAAAAUAUAAACAAAAUUAUGUUAGUAUAUUUAUGUAAACAAAAAGAUAAAAUUGAAUAGAGAAAAAAAACUUGUUUUAAAGAAAAAGACUACGUAAUAUUUCUUAAUAUAGAAAAUAUAAAUUAUUUGAUAUUAAAUAAUCUAAGUCAAUAUAAUAUUUUUAUAUAAAUAUUAACGGCCUUAAUUUGCCUAAACGCGUGGUGAAGAUUGCGUAAAUAAAGAAUAUCUCGCUCAACACCCCAAAAAUAAAAUUUCACUAUGAUUAAAAUUUAUACAAGUGUAAAAAUAUGAAAAAUGUAAACACACAAUUUAAAGUCUUCUUUGAAUGUCAUUUCGACAAGUAUUCUCGAUAACCUGUAUAAACACUCGUAAUAAAAAUGUUAGUGACAAAUAAACAAUAAUUAAAAUAAAUUUUAAAAGAACGUGUGCAUAUACGUAUUUAAAAAUAUAAUUUUUGUUAAACCAUGAGCUCAGAUAAAGUUUUAAAAUAUUAUAAAGAUUUCAUCAUUGCCCAAAAAUAUUUAUUUUUGUUACGGAUUUGUAUACGUAAAAUCCGCCCUUUUCUUUGUGAAGGCCUAAAAAAUCGACGGAUAAUUUUUUCAUCGACCAUGCAUCAGCCCUUGAUGUAAAAUAAUAUUUUAGGAAAGUAAAGUCCGUCUUUGUAAUGGGAUAGCCUAAAAAAUUCGACGAAAAAAUAAUAGCAUUGGCCAAGUGUCGGUUCUUGAUAUAAACUAAUAAUUUUGAGAAAAUGAAGUCCAUCUUUUGUAAUAGAAUGACCUCAAAUAUCUGACAGAAAGAUAAUUUCAUUGACAAAAAUAUAGUAUUUAUUUAUUAUCAGUGUAAUGAAAAAUACAGAGAAAAGAAAAAAUUCAAAAUCAGUCCAAGACAAUGCAAAACAACAACAAUACAAUAGAUCAAGAACCAAGUUACCAGAGUGGGUUUUUUCCAUCUACGAUAACAUGAAAUUAAUGAGACAAUGUAAAAUGACAGUCCAAGCAUUAGCAACAAAAUCAGCAAAUUACCCAACAAAAGGGAUGAUGUUCACUGGAGAAAAUAAAAAUUUAGUCGGAAAAUUCAAAAUCACCAAAAUGUCAAAGGAUCCCAAAAAUUGUGAGAGCACCAUAAAUUGGCCCAAAUAUAUAGAAACCAACAUACUACUAAGUGAAUCUGUAACAAGAGACAAGGAUUGGUGUUGCUUCAAUCGCCGGAGCAAUGCCGAAAAAUUGGAGUACAGCCAGAUCUAGCCAAUUUUUGGUGAAUAAUGGAGGAGGCGGCAACAACGGGCUACUGAUGUUGGUGUUAUUCGUCGGUCGUCCGGUGACAAAAUCCGAUGGCAACGGGAAAAGAAAAAUGGGCAGCCGGUUGCUGGUGUUGCAAAGCUUGCCUGAGUGGUCAGCGGCGGAUUUCGUUAGCGGUUUGGGUUGGGUCUUGCUGGUGGAGGCGUCAGAUCUAGUUUGACAGUGGAGUUUUAGCGAUGGAGAAAAGAGUGAGAGGUGAGAGAGAGGAGAUAAAGAGAAAGGCAUGAGUUGUGUGUGUAUAGUGUGUGUUGUGUGUUUUUAGU
rnacentral:lncRNA from 1 species